CCCAUUAACUCUCCAACCUUAAUUAUUUUCAAUGUCAAUUUAGUUCAAUCUCCAAAUCUUCUCCCCUUCUCCUGUAGCAUUUUCAAAAUUUAAACUCCCACUAAUAGACUUUUUGACUGAUCUGUUUUGAAACGAGAAGGUGAAACUUAUAAUGUAUGGUUUCCAUGCAAAUGAUUAAAGGCUACAACAAUGAAGAAAUUGAAUCCGAAAAGCCAAAUAUGUGUUCAAAUCAUACUUUCGACACACAUUCAAAAGUAUUAGAACUCGAGACUACAUCAAAAUCAAGAUUCAAGAUCGAAGAUAUAGAAAAAUAAGAGGAUAAUUUGUACCAAUAUCUUGUAAUUCAAAUACAAUUUUACGUAGGCAACGCCUAAAAUGUUCAAUUUUUUUGGUAAAAUAUGUUAUUUGGAAU